CCAAACUGCUUAGCUUUGCGCGGCCAGCGAAACCACCGGAGUCCGGAGAGAGUAGAAGUGGACGACGCCUUCCCCCUUCCUGGUGUUUGUCCGAGCUGUGUACGCCGCCGCUAGCGCCGUGUGGCGGUGGCCCGCCCGCUCCAGCGAGCGCCGGCCAACGGCGGAUCGAUGGGUCGAUUUACAUUUAGCUGAUUCAGACAGAUUACAUUCAUCUCAGGCAUGCAUCCGCGGCUGGUGACCUCGCGUGCCGCCAUUGCCGGAGGCUGGCUGGCUGGAUGGGCGUCCGCGGCGCCGGUGUUUGCAGCCUUACAUCUCAGGGAAGACGCUUGCUAAAAUGUGUGCGUGCCAAGAUUCCAGACUGAUUGGUGAGAUUAUAGUUAUAAGGGUGGGUCGAUUAGCAAACUCUGCCUACUGAAUGCCUGACUGGUUCAGGUCUUUGCUUGCUGUUUUCAACUAUGUGCCAUGUUCUUACUCCACUACAUGAUGGCAACACAGCCAACUUAUACCAUCAGAAUAUAUUUCUAUUUUUCUCUCAAGAUUUUUAUUUAGGGCCACAGAAUGAAAAAUUAUAGUACUACUCUGAGAAAGAUAUAAAUAAUCAGCAAAUAUGGGAUAACUUAACAAGGACUGUGUGGAGAAGACUGACAAGAGAAUGAUAGGUUUAAUACGAACAUCAGAUAACUUAACAAGGACAUUAUUGGUGUUAACCCACCACCCUUUUAUUGAAUUUGCCCAACAAGCAGCAUCCUUCACAACUCUUUCAUAUCCAAUAACUGGGGAAGAGUGUGGCAUCAGCAGCAGAGCUCUCCUUGUACCAAAUGCAGGCACAUCACAUGGCUGCUCAAGUCCUUCCUUCCUUCUGUCCCCUAGGACGACUGGAGUUCUCGCCGCUUGCACUCGUUCCUGCACCACUAUUUCGUUGCGCCAACAUCUGCACUCCAGUGGCAACAAAGCAAAGCUUGCAGCCUGCAAUACAAACAGGCUUACUAAUGCCAUGGAAUAAGCUACACAAUACUCAGAAAAAUUACAACAGAACCAACGUGUCGCUGUCUUACAGUAAACAUCAAUGGUAGCCUGAUUCUUGUAUAGCCAGAACACCUGUUGACUUCACAUCACAGGACAGUUCAUCCAAGUACAGUUCUACACAAUACAGGUAGCACAUCUACCUUUAUUGAUGAAUUUAGAAAAUGUACUAGCAGCUUACUUCCUCUGAGUUAUGCUGAAACAGUGAAACUGUCAAACACAGCCACAUGUAUUGUGAAUUAGCCAAUGAGUUUUUUCCCCCAAUGUAUUUUACCUAUCAUUUACCAAGAUAUAGGAACUGACACGUUCAGGACCAUUCUUUUAAGAGUCUAGAUGCAACCACAUCAUUGAACUGUCUGUUGUGCUUGAGAAUAGUCAAUCCAAAUGAAAAACAUAUGCCGUACACCAUUAGGUAGGAGAUAUUUUUUGUUAAGGAACCAUGGAUUGCUUAUGUCUAGUUGGAGCGUCAAGAGCGAGACUGCAGCAACUAAGAUCAUGCUAAAACUGUGAACUGCCUAAUUAGUGAAAAUGGCCGAAAACAGAGCAUUUUCUGAUGGUGCAAGGGCGCAACAGGAACCAGAAAC